UGGGGAAUAUUGGACAAUGGGGGGAACCCUGAUCCAGCCAUGCCGCGUGUGUGAAGAAGGCCUUAUGGUUGUAAAGCACUUUAAGCGAGGAGGAGGGUACUGGUAUUAAUACUACCAGGUACUGGACGUUACUCGCAGAAUAAGCACCGGCUAACUCUGUGCCAGCAGCCGCGGUAAUACAGAGGGUGCGAGCGUUAAUCGGAUUUACUGGGCGUAAAGCGUGCGUAGGCGGCUAAUUGAGUCGGAUGUGAAAUCCCCGAGCUUAACUUGGGAAUUGCAUUCGAUACUGGUUAGCUAGAGUGUGGGAGAGGAUGGUAGAAUUCCAGGUGUAGCGGUGAAAUGCGUAGAGAUCUGGAGGAAUACCAAUGGCGAAGGCAGCCAUCUGGCCUAACACUGACGCUGAGGUACGAAAGCAUGGGGAGCAAACAGG
rnacentral:rRNA from 1 species